GCCAGACUCCUACGGGAGGCAGCAGUGGGGAAUAUUGGGCAAUGGGCGCAAGCCUGACCCAGCAACGCCGCGUGAAGGAAGAAGGCUUUCGGGUUGUAAACUUCUUUUGUCAGGGACGAAGCAAGUGACGGUACCUGACGAAUAAGCCACGGCUAACUACGUGCCAGCAGCCGCGGUAAUACGUAGGUGGCAAGCGUUAUCCGGAUUUAUUGGGUGUAAAGGGCGUGUAGGCGGGAAUGCAAGUCAGAUGUGAAAACUAUGGGCUCAACCCAUAGCCUGCAUUUGAAACUGUUGGUCUUGAGUAUCGGAGAGGCAGGCGGAAUUCCUAGUGUAGCGGUGAAAUGCGUAGAUAUUAGGAGGAACACCAGUGGCGAAGGCGGCCUGCUGGACGACAACUGACGGUGAGGCGCGAAAGCGUGGGGAGCAAACAGGAUUAGAUACCCCAGUA
rnacentral:rRNA from 1 species